rnacentral:rRNA from 1 species
AGUGAACGCUGGCGGUAGGCCUAACACAUGCCAGUCGAACGGCAGCACAGUAAGAGCUUGCUCUUACGGGUGGCGAGUGGCGGACGGGUGAGGAAUACAUCGGAAUCUACUUUUACGUGGGGGAUAACGUAGGGAAACUUACGCUAAUACCGCAUACGACCUACGGGUGAAAGCAGGGGAUCUUCGGACCUUGCGCGAUUGAAUGAGCCGAUGUCGGAUUAGCUAGUUGGCGGGGUAAAGGCCCACCAAGGCGACGAUCCGUAGCUGGUCUGAGAGGAUGAUCAGCCACACUGGAACUGAGACACGGUCCAGACUCCUACGGGAGGCAGCAGUGGGGAAUAUUGGACAAUGGGCGCAAGCCUGAUCCAGCCAUACCGCGUGGGUGAAGAAGGCCUUCGGGUUGUAAAGCCCUUUUGUUGGGAAAGAAAAGCAGCAGGUUAAUACCCCGCUGUUCUGACGGUACCCAAAGAAUAAGCACCGGCUAACUUCGUG